GGCUGGCUGGAGUGCAGUGAUGUUUACAACUAAUUGAUCACUACCAGUUACUACUGAUUCCUUUGUUCCUGCUCCACUCUCACUGCUUCACUUGACUAGCCUUUA
ensembl:Y_RNA Y_RNA Y RNA